rnacentral:SRP_RNA from 11 species
GUCUGGGCGAAGAGGCAGAGGAAGGCGUAAGAACUCAAUCGAAGGCGUGAGCGUCGGUUGAGCAGUAGGCAGUAGGAGACGUGUGACGGUCACCGAGCAGCGGUGUAUUUCAGUUUUGCGUUGUGCACGUUAAUAAUAUCAGGCUGGCG